CACAGGGUAUUCAACUAAGAUUAAUGACCAUAAGAUAUACUUGAAAGUUCUGGCUGUCAAUGCUUGCUUUCUAAUAAAUGUCUGAUACAGAAAGAUUUUUGGAUUCAUGCAGGCGGUUUCACAUUGCCAGUCAAAAGUGGCGAGACCUACAUGCUACGGUUGAUCAAUGCAGCACUCAAUGAAGAGCUCUUCUUCAAAAUUGCAGGGCAUAAGCUUACAGUCGUCGAAGUUGAUGCCACCUAUGUUAAACCAUUCAAAACCGAUACAGUCCUAAUUGCCCCAGGCCAGACCACCAAUGUCCUUGUCACAACUAACAAAAAUACAGGCAAGUACUUGGUUGCUGCCUCCCCGUUCAUGGAUUCUCCAAUUGCUGUGGACAACAUGACAGCAACAGCCACUUUGCAGUAUUCAGGAGCACUUGCUAACUCCCCUACAACUCUCACCACCCCACCUCCAAAGAAUGCCACUGCAGUUGCCAACCAAUUUACCAACUCUCUACGCAGCCUUAACUCAAGAAGAUUUCCUGCCAAAGUCCCAUUGAACGUUGAUCACAACCUUUUCUUUACAGUUAGUCUAGGAGUUAACCCAUGUCCAAGUUGCAAAGCUGGUAAUGGCAGCAGGGUUGUUGCUAGUAUUAACAAUGUCACAUUUGUGAUGCCAACCACUGCCCUGCUCCAAGCACAUUUCCUCAACAUCAGCGGUGUGUUCACCACUGAUUUUCCUGCAAAGCCACCGCAUGUUUUCAAUUACACUGGCACUCCACCUACAAAUUUACAGACCAAAAGUGGAACUAAAGUUUAUAGGCUGAGCUACAACUCGACAGUCCAACUUGUUAUGCAAGAUACUGGUAUCAUAUCCCCUGAGAACCAUCCGAUCCAUUUACAUGGAUUCAAUUUCUUUGCUGUCGGUAGGGGAGUAGGGAAUUACAAUCCGAAGACUGAUACUAAGAAGUUUAACCUCGUUGAUCCUGUUGAACGGAACACAAUUGGAGUACCUUCUGGUGGAUGGGUGGCGAUAAGAUUUCGCGCCGAUAAUCCAGGUAAUUGCUGUUUAAUGUUUUCGUUUGGAAGUACAGAGCUUGGCAUUUUCAAGUUUGUUUAAUUUCAUGUUCUCUGAUUUUCUUCUUCGCAUCUCUUGUAGGAGUUUGGUUCAUGCAUUGCCAUCUAGAGGUGCACACUACAUGGGGACUUAAGAUGGCGUUCUUGGUAGACAAUGGCAAAGGCCCUAAGGAGUCUCUUCUACCGCCGCCAAGCGACCUUCCAAAAUGUUGAAGUCAGAUCAAGAACUAUACUAACUCGAGGGAUAGAAGCCAUACUUUAUCAGGAAACUUGGUCCCGGUAGAAACAUUCUAUGCUCGAAGAGAGCAGAGUGUGUAUAUAUAUAAUUUGAGGGUUAAAGAUCCGAUUUGUUUCUUGAGUGAAUUGGAAGAUUUGCUCAAGCGAGUUUGCAUAAAAUUUUGUGAGCGGUAGAGCUGUUUCAAUUCAAAUGUUAUUUUUUCUUGAAUAAAUAUAUAUAUAUUGAAGAUUUGAUCACAAAGCCAUUCAUGAUCAAUAAAACUUGUAUGCUUCUAAAUAUGUUCAUGGGUCGGGUUGGAUAAGACCUAGAUCAGGCCCGAUUAACUUUUCUAAGUUAUAUUGACCCGUAUCUGGCCAGAAUCGAUCCUUGGGCUUUCAAGCCCUUUAAGAAAUAAAAAAUAAAAAAUAAAAGCAAAAUAAUAUGUAGCAAUAGAAAUUAGUUUUUUUUUUUUUGAGACAAGUAUCGAAAUUGUUAAAGAAUAAGGAAGCAAAGUUUUAGCACGGCGAAACAAAUAUUUAUAUAACGCGGCAAUGAUUAGAAAUUCUAGCAAUGAUUGCAUUUCUUAGACCCAAAAGCUGUAUGUUUUUAAAUAUUUUUGAUAUGGUAAAGUAAGAAAUUAUUAUUUUAAUAUAUUUUAAAAUAAAAAAUUUUAAAAAUUAAUUUUUAUCACAAUCUCAAAUAAACAUUAGGUGAAAAGAAAAAAGAAAAGGAACAAUACAAACUGAAGCAUGGAGUUAGAACUUAAUUUUGUAGUUUAUUAAAAUAAAUAAAUUAAUUAUGGUUUUAACUAUAUAUUUACUCUUUUUGUUUUUAAAACCAUUUAUAACUUAAUAUUUUUCAUCCCUUUUAUGUUGUUUUUUCAAUAUAUUUAUUUUUUGUUUUAAAAACAGAAAAAAGAAAAGAAAAAGAAAAAGAUAAAUUAAGAAGAUUGAUAAAAUAGAAGAUACCUUUAUUUUUUUUCCCAAUAUGCUACGGCUAAAACUGGUUAGGAAAAUAGUGUAGCUGCAGAUGCAUUGGCACUGUUCACUAGAACAUUCUAAUGACAUCUUUGUCUUUUCCAUAAAAAAAACUUAUAACUAGUUUCUGGGAACAUGAAAGUCUUUUGACGAUGUGCAUUAGUCAUUCUUAAAUUAAUUAGGGGCAAUUAUGUCUUUUUCAAUUUAAAAAUACAGUGAAAAGACCGAAAUGCCCUUAAAAGCAAAAAAUUCAAUGCUAGCAUCAAGGGACAAUUUGAUACUUUUAAAAUUGUUUUUUUCUAUUAUUAUCAUGUAAGAUGAGGAGCAAUUUUGUAUUUGGAUAAAUAUAUAUAAAAAAUAAAAAACAUAGUGAAACGAUCAAAAUGUCCUUGGAAGUCUAAACAUAAAAAAAAAUGAUCUCAAGGGACUUUUUCCAUAGGUUUUUAUCUCAAAGCCUUCCCAAACUUCGAUUGAUAUUCAAUUUUAACUCUAUAAAAAAUAAGGUCUGUGAAAUCUUUUGGUAAAAUAUCAAUUCGAUCCAACGUUCAAAUUAAAAAUUAUGCUUGUUAGCGUAAAACUGUACAUUAGAAAAAAAAAGCCCAAAAUUACCUCUCAUUACCCAACCCUUUUAUGGACCACAUUAAUCAAGGCUUAGUCACCUUUUCUUGAAAAUUUAAAACUUGACUUGACCCAAAUAUCUUGAAUAAGCCCAUCGAAUAACUCUUCAAUCUUUUUGGUCGAAUGAUACAAGGUCAAAAUCUUUGGCUUCUCCUUCCUCAUUCUCAUCAACCAUCUCAUCAAUGAUCCUACACCUCACCAAACAUCACAUUCAUCCUCUCAAAUUGUUGUUCUAUAACCAGCAAUUUAAGAUGUCCUCCUUCUUCUUUUCAGAGGAUGCCCCGUCUUUGGAAGACAUUAUCAAAUUUAAAAUUUUACGUUAGUAAUAAAAAACAAUUAUCAUCACUCACUCCCUUAUGUGUUUACACUCUAUAAUCAACGGGUUGUAGUUGUUCAUCCAAUAGCUUCGAUUCUUUGGUUCAAGGUAAACACUAGAUCGAGUUUUUAUCUUCAAUUCGAUUUUAUCUUUUUUGGGUUGUAUUUUUUCUUGUUUAUGAGUUCACAUCACAAGAAACUAUUUUAUAAUAAACCUAAACCUAGGUUCGAGCCACAUCGUGUCGACACGUGCUUGCGUAUGGGUUUAAGUUCAAAACCCACUUUGCUUAUGUCAUUUUCCCUCUAAAAAAUUGGGUUCCUUUUGGUCUCAAUAUUAACUCUUCGCCUUCUCAUUAAAUAAGUCACAAGAAAAACUUAUUUCUUUCCAACACGGAUAGAGUUUUUAAAGGGUUUGGGUUUCACUAAAACAUGUCAAUCAAAGGUUCUUUGAGAAUAAUUUUUUAUUCAUCCAUAAUUUAAUUAAAUCAUAUUAGUGUUCUAUGUUAAAGAGCUUAUAUUGGAUAUUAAAUUCCAACAAAGUUUUAACCCCAAAAAUGAAUGGAUCCACUUUUAAUUUGGCCUCAAAUAUUUCCAUUAACCAUGUUCCAAGACAAAAUUUGCAACAAAAUGUCCCAUUAACAAAGCAGAAUGUUUUUGUUACAAUACUAAUGUCAGUAAAAAUGAGUAGAGAAUGUUGAUGAAUUUAGAUAUAACUAGUUUAUUUUCUACACUAUCAUUGUGGGUUGGAUGAAAUUUUUUUGGAACAUAAGAAAAUAAUAUAUAAACCAUAUGAAACUUUUCGGCAUUGUCAUUAAAUUAGGUGCAACAGUUCAAACUUGACAACUCUUAACAUGACUAUUUGUUUAGCUCAAGUUUUUAAUUAAAUCAUAUGAAAGUUGCUCUUAUGUGACAUUGUUUACUGGGUAGGUGCAAAGAAAAAAAAACACGUUAGGUUCAACCUAAUCAACCCACCAAACUCGUGAUCGAAGUUAUGAGCUUCACUAGGUCAAAUUAAUUUUUUUUAUUUUAUUAUAUAAUAAAAAUAUAAAUUUUUAUUUACCAUCAACACAAUACUAAAAAAUAAAAUUAAAAAGAAAAACUUCACAUUAAAAGAUAAUAUUGAAAGAAAAAAAUAAAAUAUGUAAAAAAUACUCUAAUGGUGUGCUAUGAUAAAGCCAAACACGCGGGCACGUGGGCUUGGGGAAGGCCUGCAGCUUGGGCUGUGCACAUCUUUUUUAUUUGCAAAAAAGAAGAAAAGCAACCUCUCAUCUAUCUUUUGAAAGAAUAUACUGCUAUCUGUAGCUAGGAAUCAAACCCACAACCUCCACACCUACCUCCUUGCUUACCACCACUUGAACUAUGACAAGAACUUAACCAAGCUAUUAAAAUAUAUCAACUUGAUUUUAAUAACUAAGCCAAAUCCAGCCAUUUAGUUGUUCCUUUUUACUAUUAGAUUUGAAAUCAAUGGUUUUAACAAACCAGCAUUUUAGACAUUCCCAAAACAGACGGAUGCGCAAAAGCAUUGAAUUGAAUUGAAAAUAUUGAUCGGAUCAUGCAUGGAUUUUCAUAUAAAAAAAACACAUCACCGUGGAAAGGACCUGGUGAGCACUCAUCAUUAGAAUUCAGAGCCGCAAGUAAUCCUGGGACAUCCUUUACAAGGACUACAAGUAAUGCCUUGAAAAAGAGAGUUCGGCCUACCAAACUUAACCCGUAUUGUUCUUAAAUCUACGAAGAGCACCAGGUCCUAAAAAAGAGUAGCAAAAUAAAAUAAAUUCUAAGGCAACUAAUUGAAAAUGGUGAUUAAUUAAGGUGACUUGUCCGUUGCUGAUCAAUUGACCACAUGUUCUUUUACUCUAUUUUUAUAUUGUUGUGAACCUACUUGAGUAAAUAGCAGGACAAGAGAAUGUUUUCAGGAUAAAUAUGUAGGAAGUGGGUGCCAAAUUUAAUCAUUUAAUUUACAGAUUUCCUAUGCCACCAAAUUAUCAAACUUCCAUGCAAGGUUCCUAAUUAAUAAAUGCAAAAAUUAGAAAACACAUGGUCUGCUUCCCAAACUAUGUUGAUCCAUGAACAAGACGACUUUAUGUAGCAUGUAAGAAACCUAGUAAGAUUAGGCUUCUAAUCCUUGUUUUCCAAGAAUGAACUCACCCACCUAACCUAACUGUGAAAAACGACAUGGCAGCAAUUCCCAUAUUCCCUUUAUAAGGUUGAGGUAGCCAGUCACGGAUGAAGACAACAAGCUUGAAAGCAAGAAGGAAACCAACAGCAACAGAGAGAUUGCCAAAGAAAGGUCUCGAAGUCAGCAAAUAUGGAGUACUCCAAUUUGCUCAUCCGUUUUAUGCUUCUUGCUGUCUGCCUCCUCCCCGCUUUGGUCGAGUGCAGGAUUCGGCAUUACAAGUUCAAUGUAAGUUAAAUGCUGUAGCAAGCUUCCAUGUGACGAAAGCCUGAACUGCUUGCGCUUUAGGUCAUUAGUCUCAUUCAUGUGACGAAAAUCUUCUUUGAAAUGCAUUUCGUUAUUAGAAGAUAGCCAUGUUUUGCACGAUGCAUUGCGCAUCAUGACACUGCCUUGGCUUAAAAUCAUGCAACUUUACCCAUAUCUUUUUCCUGACUAGUCCAUGAUUCAAAUGGAAAUCAUAGAGUUUCCACCUACCUAUAGCCACUAUUUUAAAUACCAGAAAAGUUUAUUCUCAUGCUUACUUUAUGGUUAAAUAAUUGCAGCAGAAAGCUCUCACUAUAUAUAUAUAUAUAUAUAUAUAUAUAUAUAUAUAUAUAUAUAUGUUCAAGAAACCAUUAAAAAAAUAUUAAAUAGGAAAAGGGUGGUAAGAUCUCAAAGCACUGUAGUGACAUAAUUUGUCACAACAAAUUAAACAAUAUGGACAGUUUAGCAUUUGAUGUAGAAAUGAGCUUAAAUAUUUCACCUAUCAUUUCAACAGGUGGUGAUGAAAAAUACUACCAGACUAUGCUCUAGGAAGCCGAUUGUUACCGUCAAUGGCCGCUUCCCAGGACCCACUCUGUAUGCCAGAGAACACGAUACAGUUCUUGUAAAAGUUGUUAACCAUGUCAAAUAUAAUGUUUCUAUUCACUGGUAAGCUAACGAAACAAACCCUGUAUAACAGUUAUACUUCAAUUCAUCAUGAAUGAUACCGAUGCGGAUUUUUCUUGGUAUUCUGCAGGCAUGGCAUUAGGCAACUAAGAACGGGCUGGGCUGAUGGACCAGCAUACAUUACACAAUGCCCCAUUCAGCCAGGGCAAAGCUAUGUCUACAAUUUCACAAUCACUGGUCAGAGGGGCACACUUCUUUGGCACGCACAUAUUCUCUGGCUAAGGGCCACAGUUCAUGGUGCCCUGGUUGUCUUGCCUAAACGCGGCAUCCCCUACCCAUUCCCAGCUCCUCAUAAAGAAGUGCUUGUUGUAUUAGGUGAGCAGGAUACAUAAUAGCUAUUUCUUUCACUAAAACUUUUGAAAUUCUGUGCAUUCCGCCAUAAUUCAAAUCUUUAAGGUUCAUGGUUAUUAAAUAUGUAACCUGAGACUAAGGUGGUGACGUGAAAUUGCAGCUGAAUGGUGGAAAUCAGAUACUGAAGCUGUGAUCAACGAGGCUCUUAAAUCUGGAUUAGCUCCAAAUGUCUCUGAUGCUCACACAAUUAACGGCCAUCCAGGAGCUGUCUCAGCUUGUUCUUCACAGGGUAUUCAACUAAGAUUAAUGACCAUAAGAUAUACCUGUGAGUUCUGGCUCUCAAUGCUUGCUUUCUAAUAGAGGUCUGAUACAGAAAGAUUUUUGGAUUCAUGCAGGCGGUUUCACAUUGCCAGUCAAAAGUGGCGAGACCUACAUGCUACGGUUGAUCAAUGCUGCACUCAAUGAAGAGCUCUUCUUCAAAAUUGCAGGGCAUAAGCUUACAGUCGUCGAAGUGGAUGCCACCUAUGUUAAACCAUUCAAAACCGAUACAGUCCUAAUUGCCCCAGGCCAGACCACCAAUGUCCUUGUCACAGCUAACAAAAAUACAGGCAAGUACUUGGUUGCUGCCUCCCCGUUCAUGGAUGCUCCAAUUGCUGUGGACAACAUGACAGCAACAGCCACUUUGCAGUAUUCAGGAGCACUUGCUAACUCCCCUACAACUCUCACCACCCCACCUCCAAAGAAUGCCACUGCAGUUGCCAACCAAUUUACCAACUCUCUACGCAGCCUUAACUCAAGAAGAUUUCCUGCCAAAGUCCCAUUGAACGUUGAUCACAACCUUUUCUUUACAGUUGGUCUAGGAGUUAACCCAUGUCCAAGUUGCAAAGCUGGUAAUGGCAGCAGGGUUGUUGCUAGUAUUAACAAUGUCACAUUUGUGAUGCCAACCACUGCCCUGCUCCAAGCACAUUUCCUCAACAUCAGCGGUGUGUUCACCACUGAUUUUCCUGCAAAGCCACCGCAUGUUUUCAAUUACACUGGCACUCCACCUACAAAUUUACAGACCAAAAGUGGAACUAAAGUUUAUAGGCUGAGCUACAACUCGACAGUCCAACUUGUUAUGCAAGAUACUGGGAUCAUAUCCCCUGAGAACCAUCCGAUCCAUUUACAUGGAUUCAAUUUCUUUGCUGUCGGUAGGGGAGUAGGGAAUUACAAUCCGAAGACUGAUACUAAGAAAUUUAACCUCGUUGAUCCUGUUGAACGGAACACAAUUGGAGUACCUUCUGGUGGAUGGGUGGCGAUAAGAUUUCGCGCCGAUAAUCCAGGUAAUUGCUGUUUAAUGUUUUCGUUUGGAAGUACAGAGCUUGGCAUUUUCAAGUUUGUUUAAUUUCAUGUUCUCUGAUUUUCUUCUUCGCAUCUCUUGUAGGAGUUUGGUUCAUGCAUUGCCAUCUAGAGGUGCACACUACAUGGGGACUUAAGAUGGCGUUCUUGGUAGACAAUGGCAAAGGCCCUAAGGAGUCUCUUCUACCGCCGCCAAGCGACCUUCCAAAAUGUUGAAGUCAGAUCAAGAACUAUACUAACUCGAGGGAUAGAAGCCAUACUUUAUCAGGAAACUUGGUCCCGGUAGAAACAUUCUAUGAUCGAAGAGAGCAGAGUGUGUAUAUAUAUAAUUUGAGGGUUUAAGAUCCGAUUUGUUUCUUGAGUGAAUUGGAAGAUUUGCUCAAGCGAGUUUUAAUAAAAUUUUGUGAGCGGUAGAGCUGUUUCAAUUCAAAUGUUAUUUUUUCUUGAAUAAAUAUAUCUAUUGAAGAUUUGAUCACGAAGCCAUUCAUGAUCAAUAAAACUUGUAUGUUCUAUAUAUGUUCAUGUGUCGGGUCGGAUUAGACCUAGAUCAGGCCCGAUUAAUUUUUCUAAGCUAUAUUGACCCGAGUCUAGUCAGAAUCGAUACUUGGGCUUUCAAGCCCUUCAAGAAAUUAAAAAAUGAAAGCAAAUAAUAAAUGCUAGAGUUCGAUUAGAACUAGUCUUUUCAUUUUUCAACAAGUAUCAAAAUUGUUAACGACCAAGGAAGCAAAGUUUUAGCACCGUGAAACAAAUAUUUAUAUAUAUAUCACGGCAAUGAUUAGAAAUUCUAGCAAUGAUUGCAUUUCUUAGACCCAAAAGCUGUAUGUUUUUAAAUAUUUUUUAUAGGGUAAUGUUAAAAAUUAUUAUUUUGAUAUAUUUUAAAAUAAAAAAUAAUUUUAAAAAUAAUUUUUAUCAUAUUCUUAAAUAAAUAUUAGGUGAAAAGAGAAAGAAAGGGAAAAAUAUAAACUGAAGCAUGGAGUGACUAGUAACUUAAUUUUGUAGUUUAUUAAAAUAAAUUAAUUAAUUAUAGUUGUAACUAUAUAUUUACUCUCUUUGUUUUUAAAACCAUUUAUAACUUAAUAUUUUUCAUCUAUUAUAUGUUGUUCUUCUAAUUUAUUUAUUUUUUGUUUUAAAAACAAAAAAAAAAGAAAAAGAUAAAAUAAGAAGAUUGAUAAAAUAAAAGAUACCUUCAUUUUUUUUUCAAAUAUGCUAUAGCUAAAAUUGGUUAGGAAAAUAGUGUAGCUGCAGAUAUAUUGACACUGUUCACUAGAACAUUCUAAUGAAGUGAACGUUCUAAUGACGUCUUUGUCUUUUCCAUCAAAAAACUUAUAACUAGUUACUUGGGACAUCAAAGUCUUUUGAUGAGGCACAUUAGUCAUUUCUAAAUUGACUAGGGGAAAUUAUGUCUUUUCCAAUUUAAAAAAUACAGUGAAAUUUCUAAAAUGCUCUUUUAAAAGCAAAAAUCUCAAUAUUGGCAUCAAAGGACAAUUUGAUACUUUUAAAAUGGUUUUUUUUUGUUAUUAUCAUGUAAGAUGAGAAUCAAAAAUAUAUUGAAACGAUUGAAAUGUCCAUAGAAGUCAAAAAAUAAAAUAAAAAUGAUCUUAAAGGGCUUUUUCCAAAGGUUUUUUCAUUAUUAACAUGUAAAAUCAUGGGUGAUUUGAUAUUUGAAUAAAACAAAAUUCAGGCAUAUGUACGACACCAUGAGGCACGCGGGAGGCGCCAACACACUAUGGAUGACGUGUGUGACGCCUUCCAUUGUCCAAAAAUACCCUUUCAUCAUGUCAUUGGAAGCACUGUCGUGUUUUGUUUCCUGUUGGUAUGAUACAUGUCUUUGGUGGUGAUUCAGUUUGUCGUCGAAAGGACUUUCUAUUCUAUUCUUUUUCCUUCUCUUCUCUCUUCUCCCUUAAAAAAUAUAGUUUGCCCUUUUUGUUCUUGAUGUUUCAACUUCAAUAAUUAUUCUUUUGAUUUUUAAUUUUUGUUCCGGGCUCUUUUAUAGAAAUCUUAUUUGUUUUUAAUUUCAUUCUUCAAUCACAAUUCACUAAAUAUCAUAUUCUUUAAUUUGGUCAUUCUUUUGAUUUAUAAUUUUUGUGUAGCCUUAACAAAUAAGGUGUACCUUGCAAAAAUUGGAGCUCUGUUACCGCCUCUCGUGUGUCCAUGUAAAAUAAAGAAACCACUAACUUUUGAAUCCUAAUGAAACAUGGGAACCUUGCCAAUUAAUAACUCUAAUUAUGUCGCCUCAAAUGUCCUUGUAGAAUAAGGAAGUCACUUUAUAGGAAAUCUAUAAGUUAGAAGGAAAGAUAAUCCUAAACCAACUAGGAAACUAAUGCAAUUCCCGCAUAGUACUUUCUAGUUUUUAUCUCAAGGUCUUUCUAAACUCCGAUUGAUAUUUAAUUUUAACCCUAUAAAAAUAAGAUCUGUGAAAUCUUUUGGUAAAAUAUCAAUUCGAUCCAACAUUCAGAUUGAAAAUUAUGAUUGUUAGGGUAAAACUGUAUAUUAGAAGAAAACAAAUGCCCAAAAUUACCUCUCCUUACCCAACCCUUUCAUGGACCACAUUGAUCAAAGCUUAGUCACCCCUUCUUGAAAUUUUGAAACUUGACUUGACCAAAAUAUCUUAAAUAAGCCCAUCGAAUACCUUUUCAAUCUUCUUGGUCGAAUAAUGCAAGGUCAAAAUCUUUGGCUUCUCCUUCCUCAUUCUCAUCAACCAUCUCAUCGAUGAUCCUACACCUCACCAAACAUCACAUUCAUCCUCUCAAAUUGUUGUUCUAUACCCCUAACAAAAAUAAGAUGUUCUCCUCCUCCUUUUUAGAGGAUGCUCCGUCUUUGGAAGACAUUGUCAAAUUUAAAAUUUUACGUUAGCAAUAAAAAACAAUUAUCAUCAUUUACUCCCUUACGUGUUUACACUCAAUAAUCAACGGGUUAUGGUCGUUCAUCCAUUAGCUUCGAUUCUUUGGUUCAAGGUAUUCACUAUAUCAAGUUUUUAUCUUCAAUUCGAUUUGUCUUUUUGGGUUGUAUUUUUUCUUGUUUAUGAGUUCACAUCACAAGAAACUAUUUUAUAAUAAACUCAAACCUAGGCUCAAGCCACAUCAUGUCAACGCGUACUUGCAUAUUCAAAACCCACUUUACUUAUGUCAUUUUCCCUCUAAAAAAUUAGGUUCCUAUUGGUCUCAAUAUUAACUCUUCACCUUCUCACUAAAUAAGCCACAAGAAAAACUUAUUUCUUUCUAAUGUGGGAUAGAGUUUUUAGAAGGCUUUGGGUUUCACUAAAAUAUAUGAAUCAAUGGUUAUUUGAGAAUAAUUUUUUAUUCAUCCACAAUUUAUUUAAAUCAUAUUAGUAGUAUAUGUUAAAGAGCUUAUGUUGGAGAUUAAAUUCCAACACAGUUUUAACCCCAAAAGUGAAUGGAUCCACUUUUAAUUUGGCAUCAAAUAUUUUCAUUAACCAUGUUCCUAGACAAAAUUUGCAACAAAAUAUCCUCCUAACAAAGCAGAAUGUUUUUGUUACAAUACUAAUGUCAGUAAAAAUGAGUAACGGAUGUUGAUGUAUUUAGAUAUAACUAGUUUAUUUCCUACACUAUCGUUGUGGGUUGUAUGAAAUUUUUUUGGAAUAUAAGAAAACAAUAUAUAAAUUAUAUAAAACUUUUUUGCAUUGUUAUUAAACUAAGUACAAUGGUUCAAACUUGACAACUCUCAACAUGACUAUUUGUUUAGCCCAAGUUUUAAAUUAAAUCAUAUGAAAGUUGCCGUUAUGUGACCUUGUUUAUUGGGUAAGUGCAAAGAAAAACAAGGAGCAUGUCAGGUUAAACAUAAUCAACCCGCCAAAACCGUGACAGAAGUUAUAGGCUCUACUAGGUCAAAUUAUUUUUUAUUUUAUUUUAUUAUAUAAUAAAAAAAUAUAAAAUUUGAUUUACCAUUAACCCAAUAACCCAAUACUACAAAAUAAAAUUAAAGAAAAACCUCACAUUAAAGGAAUAAAAAAUAAAUAAAUAUGACAAAAAAUACUCAAAUGGUGUGUUACGAUAAAGCCAAACACGUGGGCUUGGGGAGGCCCACAGACGUGGCCCGUACACCUUUUUUUUAUUUGAAAAAAAAAAUCAACAUUCUCAUUUUUUAUUUGAAAAAAUAUAUUGCUGUCAGUAGGAAUCGAACCCAACACCUAUCUGCUUACUUACAACCACUUGAAUUAUGAAACGAACUACGAACUUGUUAACUAAGCUGUUAAAAUAUAUCAACUUAAUUUGAAUAAUUAAGUCAAAUCAAGUCAUUUAGUUGUUUCCUUUUUACUAUUAGAUUUGAAAUCAAUGGUUUUAACAAACCAGCAUUUUAGACUUUCCCAAAACAGACGUAUGCGCAAAAACAUUGAAUUGAAUUGAAAAUAUUGAUCUGAUCAUGCAUGGAUUUUCAUAUAAAAAAAACACAUCACCGUGGAAAGGACCUGGUGAGCAUUCAUCAGUAGAAUUCAGAGUCGCAAGUAAUCCUGGGACAUCCUUUACAAGGACUACAAGUAAUGCCUUGAAAAAGAGAGUUCGGCCUACCCAACUUGUAACCCGUAUUGUUCUUACAUCUACGAAGAGCACUACGUCGUAAAAAAGAGUAACAAAAUAAAAUAAACUCUAAGGCAACCAAAUGAAAAUGGUGAUUAAUUAAGGUGACUUGUCUGUUGCUGAUCAAUUGACCUCAUGUUCUUUUACUCUAUUUUUAUAUUGUUGUGAACCUACUUGAGUAAAAAGGACGACAAGAGAAUGUUUUCAGGAUUAAUAUGUAGGAAGUGGGUGCCAAAUUUAAUCAUUUAAUUUACAGAUAUCCUAUGCCAAGAAAUUAUCAAACUUCCAUGCAAGGUUCCUAAUUAAUAAAUGCAAAAAUUAGAAAACACAUGUUCUGCUUCCCAAUCUAUGUUGAUCCAUGAACAAGAAGACUUUAUGUAGCAUGUAAGAAACCUAGUAAGAUUAGGCUUCUAAUCCUUGUUUUCCAAGAAUGAACUCACCCACCUAACCUAACUGUGAAAAACGACAUGGCAGCAAUUCCCAUAUUCCCUUUAUAAGGUUGAGGUAGCCAGUCACGGAUGAAGACAACAAGCUUGAAAGCAAGAAGGAAACCAACAGCAACAGAGAGAUUGCCAAAGAAAGGUCUCGAAGUCAGCAAAUAUGGAGUACUCCAAUUGGCUCAUCCGUUUUAUGCUUCUUGCUGUCUGCCUCCUCCCUGCUUUGGUCGAGUGCAGGAUUCGGCAUUACAAGUUCAAUGUAAGUUAAAUGCUGUAGCAAGCUUCCAUGUGACGAAAGCGUGAACUGCUUGAGCUUUCGGUCAUUAGUCUCAUUCAUGUGACGAAAAUCUUCUUUGAAAUGCAUUUCGUUAUUAGAAGAUAGCCAUGUUUUGCACGAUGCAUUGCACAUCAUGACACUGCCUUGGCUUAAAAUCAUGCAACUUUACCCAUAUCUUUUUCCUGACUAGUCCAUGAUUCAAAUGGAAAUCAUAGAGUUUCCACCUACCUAUAGCCACUAUUUUAAAUACCAGAAAAGUUUAUUCUCAUGCUUACUUUAUGGUUAAAUAAUUGCAGCAGAAAGCUCUCACUAUAUAUAUAUAUAUAUAUAUAUAUAUAUGUUCAAGAAACCAUUAAAAAAAUAUUAAAUAGGAAAAGGGUGGUAAGAUCUCAAAGCACUGUAGUGACAUAAUUUGUCACAACAAAUUAAACAAUAUGGACAGUUUAGCAGUCAUGACCUUUGAAUUAUAUACAUUUGAUGUAGAAAUGAGCUUAAAUAUUUCACCUAUCAUUUCAACAGGUGGUGAUGAAAAAUACUACCAGACUAUGCUCUAGGAAGCCGAUUGUUACCGUCAAUGGCCGCUUCCCAGGACCCACUCUGUAUGCCAGAGAACACGAUACAGUUCUUGUAAAAGUUGUUAACCAUGUCAAAUAUAAUGUUUCUAUUCACUGGUAAGCUAACGAAACAAACCCCGUAUAACAGUUAUACUUCAAUUGAUCAUGAAUGAUACCGAUGCGGAUUUUUCUUGGUAUUCGGCAGGCAUGGCAUUAGGCAACUAAGAACGGGCUGGGCUGAUGGACCAGCAUACAUUACACAAUGCCCCAUUCAGCCAGGGCAAAGCUAUGUCUACAAUUUCACAAUCACUGGUCAGAGGGGCACACUUCUUUGGCACGCACAUAUUCUCUGGCUAAGGGCCACAGUUCAUGGUGCCAUGGUUGUCUUGCCUAAACGCGGCAUCCCCUACCCAUUCCCAGCUCCUCAUAAAGAAGUGGUUGUUGUAUUAGGUGAGCACGAUACAUAAUAGUUAUUUCUUUCACUAAAACUUUUGAAAUUAUGUGCAUUCCGACCAUAAUUCAAUGCUUUAAGGUUCAUGUUUAUUAAAUAUGUAACCUGAGACUAAUGUGGUGACGUGAAAUUGCAGCUGAAUGGUGGAAAUCAGAUACUGAAGCUGUGAUCAACGAGGCUCUUAAAUCUGGAUUAGCUCCAAAUGUCUCUGAUGCUCACACAAUUAACGGCCAUCCAGGAGCUGUCUCAGCUUGUUCUUCACAGGGUAUUCAACUAAGAUUAAUGACCAUAAGAUAUACCUGAGAGUUCUGGCUCUCAAUGCUUGCUUUCUAAUAAAGGUCUGAUACAGAAAGAUUUUUGGAUUCAUGCAGGCGGUUUCACAUUGCCAGUCAAAAGUGGCGAGACCUACAUGCUACGGUUGAUCAAUGCUGCACUCAAUGAAGAGCUCUUCUUCAAAAUUGCAGGGCACAAGCUUACAGUCGUCGAAGUUGAUGCCACCUAUGUUAAACCAUUCAAAACCGAUACAGUCCUAAUUGCCCCAGGCCAGACCACCAAUGUCCUUGUCACAACUAACAAAAAUACAGGCAAGUACUUGGUUGCUGCCUCCCCGUUCAUGGAUGCUCCAAUUGCUGUGGACAACAUGACAGCAACAGCCACUUUGCAGUAUUCAGGAGCACUUGCUAACUCCCCUACAACUCUCACCACCCCACCUCCAAAGAAUGCCACUGCAGUUGCCAACCAAUUUACCAACUCUCUACGCAGCCUUAACUCAAGAAGAUUUCCUGCCAAAGUCCCAUUAAACGUUGAUCACAACCUUUUCUUUACAGUUGGUCUAGGAGUUAACCCAUGUCCAAGUUGCAAAGCUGGUAAUGGCAGCAGGGUUGUUGCUAGUAUUAACAAUGUCACAUUUGUGAUGCCAACCACUGCCCUGCUCCAAGCACAUUUCUUCAACAUCAGCGGUGUGUUCACCACUGAUUUUC
rnacentral:lncRNA from 1 species